rnacentral:rRNA from 1 species
CCUACGGGUGGCAGCAGUGAGGAAUAUUGGUCAAUGGACGAGAGUCUGAACCAGCGAAUUAGCGUGAAGGAUGACUGCCCUCUGGUUUGUAAACUUCUUUUAUAUGGGAAUAAAAUGUUCCACGUGUGUGAUUUUAUAUUUACCAUAUGAUUAAGGAUCGGCUAACUCCGUGCCAGCAGCCGCGGUAAUACUGAGGAUCCGAGCGUUAUCCGGUUUUAUUGGGUUUAAAGGGGGCGUAGGUGGAUUGUUAAGGCAGUUGUGAAAGUUUGUGGCUCAACCGUAAAAUUGCAGUUGAUACUGGCAGUCGUGAGUACAGUAGAGGUGGGCGGAAUUCGUGGUGUAGCGGUGAAAUGCUUAGAUAUAACGAAGAACUCCGAUUGCGAAGGCAGUUCACUGGACUGCAACUGACACUGAGGCGCGAAAGUGUGGGUAUCAAACAGGAUUAGAUACCCUAGUAGUC